UAACGAAUAUUGCGCAAUGGACGAAAGUCUGACGCAGCGACGCCGUGUGCAGGAUGAAGCUCCUCGGAGUGUAAACUGCUGUCAGGGACUAGAAAGGUAUGCUUGUCAUACUUGAUCAAUCCCAAAGGAAGCACCGGCUAACUUCGUGCCAGCAGCCGCGGUAAUACGAAGGGUGCAAGCGUUGUUCGGACUCACUGGGCUUAAAGCGCACGUAGGCGGAAACGACAGUGUCUUGUGAAAUCCCCCGACUCAACCGGGGAACUACUCGGCAAACUUCGUUUCUUGAGACAAGUAGGGGUACAUGGAACUCUAGGUGGAGCGGUGAAAUGCGUAGAUAUCUAGAGGAACGCCAGCGGAGAAAUCGGUGUACUGGGCUUGUACUGACGCUGAGGUGCGAAAGCGUGGGUAGCGAACG
rnacentral:rRNA from 1 species